UGCUCCCCAAUGGCACGGCUAUGUCUAUACUAUACUAUUGUUGGCCAUCAAUGUUAUCGCUGCCAUUGUUCAGGCAAUGUUUAGCGAGUAUUUGGGAUCUACAUGUUUACGUAUUAAAUCGUGUCUAACAUCAGCCGUCUAUCGCAAGUCACUAGUGCUGAGCAAUAGUGCCAAACGGCGCACACCUACCGGUGAAAUAGUCAACAUUAUGGCCAUUGAUUGCCAACGAAUUAGCGAACAAGCCGUCAAUAUGAUUACAUUACUAUCCAAUCCUAUUCAACUGGUAAUAGCCGUCU